rnacentral:misc_RNA from 1 species
CAGAUAAACAUUUAAGUAGCGGGGAUGAAUAAAAAAAUGCAGAAAUAAUCCAAUCUUCUUUUCAAAAUGUUAUCUACUACAUGCGAGGAGACACUUCAAGAGCUGAAUUCGAUUCAUAGUGCUUUGCUUAAGAUUCAGAAUCAAAAGACACGUCAGGGGACAAUUCUAGCUGUUUUCUUAAAAAAAAGUUAAAUUUUGCUUCAAAAUGUUCUUGGAAAGAAAAUUGCUUAUUCAAAUAUAGAAGUGAUGAUCCAAAGGCUUCGGAACGUUUUGAAGCAAUUGGAGAAGCUUAUGAUGUACUGACUACCCCAAAAUGGAAAGCUCUAUAUGAUCAAUUUGGAGAGGAAAGUAUCAAAACUGGAGUUCCAGUCCCACC